rnacentral:lncRNA from 1 species
GGUCAAAAAGGAGCCCAGAGUGACAGUUUUCCUUGACGGUCGCCGUUCUGUUUGCUGUAACUGAUCUGCAACAUAUCAGGAAAAGACAAUUCCCAUCGUACCUGCCAUUUCUCCGAUAUAGGUGGAAUCCUUUAUUACAAUAGACAGGUUUCCAGAGGCCAACAGAAAUGCUCUGUUGAUGGGUCUUGCAUAGAGUUGCUAGAAUAAAACUUCUGAGAAGUAGAUUGCUGAGAUGAAGAACAAGUAUGGAGGGGCAGGCAGUGGGAAUGGGUUGGACAUGUGUGCUGGAAAAAUCCAGUGGCAAGUGGCACAGAUCUUAACAGUGCUUUGGGUCACUGCCCUGAAAAGCUUAAGGCAUAAGUACCAGGGUCAAAAGCCAGUCAAACAUUUUGAUUCUCAAGACCAGAAGGGAACAAUGUCAUUCAGGACAACUGUGUUCUCGUCUUAGUUGUGCCAGAUGAAGAUUCCAGGAGGACUCUGAGGUUGAGCUUUCUGGUGAGGAUUCUGUGGUCAUGACUGUGAUGGAACACAACCAUCUCAGGACCCGGUAGGUUUCUGGGAACUGCCUGGUGGGUCGGUACAGCAUGUUUCCAAGGGCUGUGGCCGGUUGUGGCCAUGGGAUCUCCAACUGCAUGCGAGAGCAACCUGGAGAGACUUUGACAGCACAGGUCAGCAUAAUACCUGCAGCUGCCACUCGCCUUUCCUAUAAACGGCUUGGGACCUGGGCUGGAAGCCUUCUAAGUGAGUCCGGGUGUUUUCCAUAAACUACCACGUAGAUGGUAGAUGGGUAUUUCGAUCAACUUUUUCGUUUAGAGCUUUCACCCUUUUUUCUGCAGGUUGCCCCCAAGUGUCCUGGCAGUAUCUGCUACUGAAGAAUCUGAAGUUACCAGGUCGUUGCUGUGCUUUAGAUAAGGUAAAGUUAGAUGUUGAAGACAUCCUGACCCUCCGGUUCCCUUUCCCAUCGGAUCUGAACACUGGUCUUGGUGGUCGUAAAAGGAGGAAAAAGAAUACUGAAACUAGCCUCCCAGUGCUUAUCGUCUGGUAUAUAGCUUGGAGGCUAGUUUCAAACAAGAUUUGAAUUCUCUUUGAUCUCCUCCCCUGUAAAAUGGGAUAAUCUUAGGCUUAAAGGGAGGAUGUCGGUGAAGGUCUGGGCAGUUGUAGUGAUGGCUGACUUAAUGCUUAUGAAUUUGAUCAACAUGAAUGUCCUUCUUGCCUCUUGGUUGAGAGUGUCCUGUUUUUUGUUUUUUUUUAAAGAUCUGUUACCAGUAAAGCUGUCCUUAUCUGUGAUUAUGGAUCUAUAGUUGGG